rnacentral:rRNA from 1 species
CAGCCGCCACGGUAAAACGGAGGGGGCUAGCGUUGUUCGGAAUUACUGGGCGUAAAGCGCACGUAGGCGGCUUGGUAAGUUAGAGGUGAAAGCCUGGAGCUCAACUCCAGAAUUGCCUUUAAGACUGCCGAGCUAGCAGGUGAGAGAGGUAAGUGGAAUUCCGAGUGUAGAGGUGAAAUUCGUAGAUAUUCGGAAGAACACCAGUGGCGAAGGCGGCCUACUGGCUCAUACUGGACGCUGAGGUGCGAAAGCGUGGGGAGCAAACAGGAUUAGAUACCCCGGUAGUCCCUGUCUCUUAUAA